CAAGCUACUGUGGUGAAAGAGUUUUUGAUGAAACAGAGGCCUUUGACACAGAUAGAACUGAGAUAUGUCCAAAACGAUUAAGGACACACCAAGAGAUUAAAAGCAUUGCUGAUGUCAUCAAAAGCCUUACUGAAAGGGUGGACGAAAGCAGCACCUUCAGCAUUUGUGUUACCAGGGAACAGAUGGUUGAAAGAGGCAUUAAACAGUGGCAGCGGCAGAAAAAGUCUUCCCCUAAAAAUGC